GACAAACCCGGAGGAAGGUGGGGAUGACGUCAAGUCAUCAUGGCCCUUACGGCCUGGGCUACACACGUGCUACAAUGGUCGGUACAAAGGGUUCCCAAGCCGCGAGGUGGAGCUAAUCCCAUAAAACCGAUCGUAGUCCGGAUCGCAGUCUGCAACUCGACUGCGUGAAGUCGGAAUCGCUAGUAAUCGCGAAUCAGAAUGUCGCGGUGAAUACGUUCCCGGGCCUUGUACACACCGCCCGUCACACCAUGGGAGUGGGUUGCACCAGAAGUAGCUAGUCUAAC
rnacentral:rRNA from 1 species